GACGAACGCUGGCGGCGUGCUUAACACAUGCAAGUCGAACGAAGAGCGAUGGAAGCUUGCUUCUAUCAAUCUUAGUGGCGAACGGGUGAGUAACGCGUAAUCAACCUGCCCUUCAGAGGGGGACAACAGUUGGAAACGACUGCUAAUACCGCAUACGAUCUAAUCUCGGCAUCGAGGAUAGAUGAAAGGUGGCCUCUACAUGUAAGCUAUCACUGAAGGUGGGGAUUGCGUCUGAUUAGCUAGUUGGAGGGGUAACGGCCCACCAAGGCGAUGAUCAGUAGCCGGUCUGAGAGGAUGAACGGCCACAUUGGGACUGAGACACGGCCCAGACUCCUACGGGAGGCAGCAGUGGGGAAUCUUCCGCAAUGGACGAAAGGCUGACGGAGCAACGCCGCGUGAGUGAUGACGGCCUUCGGGUUGGAAAGCUCUGUUAAUCGGGACGAAAGGCCUUCUUGCGAAUAGUGAGAAGGAUUGACGGUACCGGAAUAGAAAGCCACGGCUAACUACGUG
rnacentral:rRNA from 1 species